UGGGGAAUAUUGCGCAAUGGGGGGAACCCUGACGCAGCCAUGCCGCGUGAAUGAAGAAGGCCUUCGGGUUGUAAAGUUCUUUCGGUAUUGAGGAAGGGGUGUGUGCUAAUAGUACACAUCAUUGACGUUAAAUACAGAAGAAGCACCGGCUAACUCCGUGCCAGCAGCCGCGGUAAUACGGAGGGUGCGAGCGUUAAUCGGAAUAACUGGGCGUAAAGGGCACGCAGGCGGUUAUUUAAGUGAGGUGUGAAAGCCCUGGGCUUAACCUAGGAAUUGCAUUUCAGACUGGGUAACUAGAGUACUUUAGGGAGGGGUAGAAUUCCACGUGUAGCGGUGAAAUGCGUAGAGAUGUGGAGGAAUACCGAAGGCGAAGGCAGCCCCUUGGGAAUGUACUGACGCUCAUGUGCGAAAGCGUGGGGAGCAAACAGGAUUAGAUACCCUGGUAGUCCACGCUGUAAACGCUGUCGAUUUGGGGGUUGGGGUUUAACUCUGGCGCCCGUAGCUAACGUGAUAAAUCGACCGCCUGGGGAGUACGGCCGCAAGGUUA
rnacentral:rRNA from 1 species